UACGUAGGGGGCAAGCGUUGUCCGGAAUCAUUGGGCGUAAAGAGCGUGUAGGCGGUUCGGUAAGUCUGCCGUGAAAACCUGAGGCUCAACCUCGGGCUUGCAGUGGAUACGGGCAGACUAGAGUGCGGUAGGGGAGACUGGAAUUCCUGGUGUAGCGGUGGAAUGCGCAGAUAUCAGGAAGAACACCGGUGGCGAAGGCGGCUCUCUGGGCCUUACCUGACGCUGAGGAGCGAAAGCGUGGGUAGCGAACAGG
rnacentral:rRNA from 1 species